UCAGUAACGGCGAGUGAAGCGGGAAGAGCUCAAGCUUAAAAUCUCCACGCAAGUGGCGAAUUGUAGUCUAUUGAAGCUGUUGUCAGCAUAGCGACUUGGGAAAAGUCCCUUGGAAGAGGGCAGCAUAGAGGGUGAUACUCCCGUCUUUGCCCAAGUUGUCUGUGUGUACGAAACGCUUUCUUUGAGUCGAGUUGUUUGGGAAUACAGCUCAAAGUAGGUGGUAAAUUCCAUCUAAAGCUAAAUAUUGGUGCGAGACCGAUAGCGAACAAGUACCGUGAGGGAAAGAUGAAAAGAACUUYGAAAAGAGAGUUAAAGAGUACCUGAAACUGUUGAAAGGGAACCGUAUCGUGUCUAGUGUGUAUCCUGUGCAUAUUUCACUGGCGGUCGCAAGAUUGCUGGUGCCCUGUGCAUGGGUGUGACGUCAGAGUCAGUUUGUGCUGCGGGAGAUGGCUAGUGAGGAGGUGCGUCCCUYYUGGGAAAGUUACAGCUCGCUAGCUAGUAGCCGUGGCGUAGACUGAGGUGCCUACAACACGCUCUGGGGUCUUUUGUUGUCUCGUGUGGGUUGUUGCCUGGAUAGCUUGCUAUGCUGGUGAUAAUGUAUGCGAUNNGAUGGCAGGAG
rnacentral:rRNA from 1 species